GUGGAUGUAGCUCAGGGGUAUAGCACUUGUCUUAUAGGCAUGAGGUCCUGGGUUCCAUCCCCAGCAUUAAAG
rnacentral:tRNA from 1 species